rnacentral:rRNA from 1 species
GGGGAUCUGCCUGAUGGCGGGGGAUAACUACUGGAAACGGUAGCUAAUACCGCAUAAUGUCUUCGGACCAAAGCGGGGGACCUCCGGGCCUCGCGCCAUCAGAUGAACCCAUAUGGGAUUAGCUAGUAGGUAAGGUAACGGCUUACCUAGGCGACGAUCCCUAGCUGGUCUGAGAGGAUGAUCAGCCACACUGGGACUGAGACACGGCCCAGACUCCUACGGGAGGCAGCAGUGGGGAAUAUUGCACAAUGG